rnacentral:rRNA from 1 species
GACGAACGCUGGCGGCGCGCUUAACACAUGCAAGUCGAACGGAAAGGCCUGCUUUCCCUUGUGGAUUGCGGGUACUCGAGUGGCGAACGGGUGAGUAACACGUGAGUGAUCUGCCCCCAACUUGGGUAUAAGCCUGGGAAACUGGGUCUAAUUCCCGUUAGGACUGCAGGGUGGUGCCUGUGGUGGCAAACGAUUUUCUAGUGGUUGGGGAUGAGCUGGCGGCGUAUCAGCUUGUUGGCGGGGUAAUGGCCUACCAAGGCGGAGACGGGUAGCCGGCCUGAGAGGGUGGACGGCCGAAUUGAGACUGGGUUACGGCCCAGACGCCUGCGGGAGGCAGCAGUGGGGAAUAAUGCAGCAUGAGCGGAAGCCUGAUGCAGCGACGCAGUGUGGGGGAUGACGGCAUUCGGGUUGUAAGCUCCUUUCGACCGAGAGGAAGCCACCUGGUUGGGAGGGUGGUGACGGUAGUGGUAGAAGAAGCACCGGCUAACUACGUG